rnacentral:rRNA from 1 species
AGAGUUUGAUCCUGGCUCAGAUUGAACGCUGGCGGCAUGCCUAACACAUGCAAGUCGAACGGGGUAGCAAUACCCAGUGGCGGACGGGUGAGGAAUACAUAGGAAUUUGCCCUUAAGUGGGGGAUAGCCCGGGGAAACCCGGAUUAAUACCGCAUGAUCUCGUGAGAGCAAAGCAGGGGACCGCAAGGCCUUGCGCUUUUGGAGAAGCC